GUAAGGAAUAUUGGUCAAUGGACGCAAGUCUGAACCAGCCAUGCCGCGUGGAGGAUGAAGGUCCUCUGGAUUGUAAACUUCUUUUAUCUGGGAAGAAAUCCAUUUUUUCUAAAAUGGUUGACGGUACCAGAUGAAUAAGCACCGGCUAACUCCGUGCCAGCAGCCGCGGUAAUACGGAGGGUGCAAGCGUUAUCCGGAUUCACUGGGUUUAAAGGGUGCGUAGGUGGGUCUGUAAGUCCGUGGUGAAAUCUCCGAGCUUAACUCGGAAACUGCCAUGGAUACUAUAGAUCUUGAAUACUGUGGAGGUCAGCGGAAUAUGUCAUGUAGCGGUGAAAUGCUUAGAUAUGACAUAGAACACCAAUUGCGAAGGCAGCUGGCUACACAAAUAUUGACACUGAGGCACGAAAGCGUGGGGAUCAAACAGGAUUAGAAACCCCAGUAGUCC
rnacentral:rRNA from 1 species